rnacentral:tmRNA from 1 species
GACCUUUUCUUGGGCCUCGGAAGCGCCUAUAUCUCUGCUGCUGCCUCGUGCAGCUAUGGCAAUAAACGGGCGGUGUAAUAAACCCAUUGGACCCGGGGGCGGUACCCGGCGCCUCCACCAAAAACCGAUCUUUCGCGAUCGGCUUUUGAUGGGGGCGAAAUAGGAUCGACAAGGGCGUAAAGAUCGACUUUUUGCUCGGCAUUGUACCACCGUUAUCGGGCUAAAAUUGUAGUUGCAAACGACAACUAUGCUGAAGCACGUCUCGCUGCCUAACGGCGGUGCGACACUUCAAAUCAAGUCCUUGCGGGUAGCACUGUAAGGCGGGGUCCGAAGGCACCUGGCAACAGAAGCCUUCACC